rnacentral:lncRNA from 1 species
AACCUUCUCACUCGGUGCCGUGAGAGGUCUGAGCUCCAACGGGCAGUAGGCUCAACAGUCGGUGAAAACAGUGAAUGCUCUCUCUCUCUCUCUAUUAAUGGCGGUAUCGCGCCCCUUAUAUAGGGCCUGGAAACCGACCUAAUGACAUUUACAUAAAUGCCCCGUGACGGUGGGGGAAUAUUCCAGUAUAUUCUUUCAUCGCAGUCUACUGACCCUAAUACACCUGCGUAAUUUCACAUUGCAAGCCCU